rnacentral:rRNA from 1 species
GAUGAACGCUGGCGGCGUGCCUAAUACAUGCAAGUCGAGCGAACAGACUAGGAGCUUGCUCCUCUGACGUUAGCGGCGGACGGGUGAGUAACACGUGGAUAACCUACCUAUAAGACUGGGAUAACUUCGGGAAACCGGAGCUAAUACCGGAUAAUAUAUUGAACCGCAUGGUUCAAUAGUGAAAGACGGUUUUGCUGUCACUUAUAGAUGGAUCCGCGCCGCAUUAGCUAGUUGGUAAGGUAACGGCUUACCAAGGCAACGAUGCGUAGCCGACCUGAGAGGGUGAUCGGCCACACUGGAACUGAGACACGGUCCAGACUCCUACGGGAGGCAGCAGUAGGGAAUCUUCCGCAAUGGGCGAAAGCCUGACGGAGCAACGCCGCGUGAGUGAUGAAGGUCUUCGGAUCGUAAAACUCUGUUAUUAGGGAAGAACAAAUGUGUAAGUAACUAUGCACGCCUUGACGGUACCUAAUCAGAAAGCCACGGCUAACUACGUG